rnacentral:rRNA from 1 species
CCUACGGGUGGCAGCAGUGGGGAAUAUUGGUCAAUGGGCGCAAGCCUGACCCAGCAACGCCGCGUGAAGGAAGAAGGCUUUCGGGUUGUAAACUUCUUUUCUGAGGGACGAAGAACGUGACGGUACCUCAGGAAUAAGCCACGGCUAACUACGUGCCAGCAGCAGCGGUAAUACGUAGGUGGCAAGCGUUAUCCGGAUUUAUUGGGUGUAAGGGGUGUGUAGGCGGGAAGGCAAGUCAGAUGUGAAAGCUCAGGGCUCAACCCUGAGCCUGCAUUUGAAACUGUUUUUCUUGAGUGCUGGGGAGGCAAGCGGAAUGCGGGGUGUAGCGGUGAAAUGCGUAGAUAUACGGAGGAACACCAGUGGCGAAGGCGGAUUACUAGACAGUAACUGACGCUGAGGCGCGAAAGCGUGGGGAGCAAACAGGAUUAGAUACCCGAGUAGUC